ACCGAGGACAGCCGCAUCCCGCACCUCCUACCUAGUGGAUCCGCCACCAUGCUUAGAGUUGUUGGAGCUGGUCAUGGACGCAAACAACAACGCUGAAGGGGAUGACCUAUACAUGCUCGACGAGGAGCUCAUCCAGUCCCAUCUCGAGCUCAAGGGAGACGUCUUCGCUGAUGAUGCAUAUCAAAAGGUUGAGAAAAUGAUUAAUUAAUUACCAACACGGUCAUCGGAUUUAUUAAAUUUUGAGGUUGCUUCAGUUGAUAAAGACACCUUCUUCUGCUUUGUCACCACUAUCGUCAUCAACGUAACUUGGUUGAGAAGGAGCAACAACGAUGUCAAGGAUUGGAGACGAGGUUGAGGUCUGCAAAGGGACCGAUGUUGAGGUUUGCAAGACCUAAACCAAGGCCAGAUGGGAGACAAGGGGAUGGGAGAGCGUCACGUGGAUCCCAUGAACCCCUCGUUGGCUCGGCCUACGCGAUGAUGAAAACACAUAGGUGUGGAGUGACCUGGCUCCAGCAGUGCCGCAACGGCCCAUGUGACCC